UAAGACAAAAGCUCAAGGCAG
rnacentral:snRNA from 1 species